rnacentral:snoRNA from 1 species
GGCUACCUGGUGCUUCCCACAAGCUGCGUUCUUUACACCUGUUGUAUAGAAAAAGAAGCAUAGUAAACCCACCCCAUUUAUACCUCAGCCCAGGCAAAAGGUACAUAUGAGGUGGGUUUGUUAUAUGAACCAUGUGGUAUUAUAA